UGGAGUGGUGGAACAAGAGAACUGCCACACUUGGAUCCUUCUAGCUGUGGAAGCUACAGUAUACGGUGAAUGAAGUCUGUAUGCAUUUCCUUCCUCACGACCAAAAGUUGGUGGGUGAGUGGGUUGGAAGACCAAGAAGAAAUUCAUCCUACCCGUGUUUCCCUUUAAUAAUGCAGAACUAAGUGAAUUCUCAAAGGGUCAAUAGGAGAUCAUAAUGUCAUUGCAAUGACUGUAUGGGCUCAUGCUCGACACUAAUGACACCAAUCAAACCGAUUAACGAAUGGCUCAAGGAAGAGAAUUUUAAAUGAACAACUACACAGAUCUUCAAACCACAUCUUCCCAGGAACUGAGACUACCUAUUGAUAUGAAUGCAUAGAAAAAACAAGGCCAUUAAAAUAAAAUGGAAUAAUGGAAGUC